rnacentral:rRNA from 1 species
CAGCCGCCGCGGUAAUACGUAGGGUGCAAGCGUUAAUCGGAAUUACUGGGCGUAAUGCGUGCGCAGGCGGUUUUGUAAGACAGAGGUGAAAUCCCCGGGCUCAACCUGGGAACUGCCUUUGUGACUGCAAGGCUUGAGUGCGGCAGAGGGGGAUAGAAUUCCGCGUGUAGCAGUGAAAUGCGUAGAUAUGCGGAGGAACACCGAUGGCGAAGGCAAUCCCCUGGGCCUGCACUGACGCUCAUGCACGAAAGCGUGGGGAGCAAACAGGAUUAGAUACCCCGGUAGUCCCUGUCUCUUAUAC